rnacentral:rRNA from 1 species
GGUGACCGGCCACAAUUGGGAUUGAGACACGGCCCAAACUCCUACGGGAGGCAGCAGUGGGGAAUAUUGCACAAUGGGGGAAACCCUGAUGCAGCGACGCCGCGUGAGCGAUGAAGUAUUUCGGUAUGUAAAGCUCUAUCAGCAGGGAAGAAAAUGACGGUACCUGACUAAGAAGCACCGGCUAAAUACGUGCCAGCAGCCGCGGUAAUACGUAUGGUGCAAGCGUUAUCCGGAUUUACUGGGUGUAAAGGGAGCGUAGACGGAGUGGCAAGUCUGAUGUGAAAACCCGGGGCUCAACCCCAGGACUGCAUUGGAAACUGUCAAUCUAGAGUACCGGAGAGGUAAGCGGAAUUCCUAGUGUAGCGGUGAAAUGCGUAGAUAUUAGGAGGAACACCAGUGGCGAAGGCGGCUUACUGGACGGUAACUGACGUUGAGGCUCGAAAGCGUGGGGAGCAAACAAGAUUAGAUACCCUGGUAGUCCACGCCGUAAACGAAAGGAUAUUAGGUGUCGGGCAGCAAAAGCAGUUCGGUGCCGCAGCAAACGCAAUAAGUAUCCCACCUGGGGAGUACGUUUCGCAAGAAUGAAACUCAAAAGGAAUUGACGGGGACCCGCACAAGCGGUGGAGCAUGUGGUUUAAUUAGAAGCAAACGCGAAGAACCUUACCUGCUCUUGACAUCUCCCUGACCGGCAAGUAAUGUUGCCUUUCCUUCGGGACAGGGAUGACAGGUGGUGCAUGGUUGUCGUCAGCUCGUGUCGUGAGAUGUUGGGUUAAGUCCCGCAACGAGCGCAACCCCUAUCUUUAGUAGCCAGCGGUUCGGCCGGGCACUCUAGAGAGACUGCCAGGGAUAACCUGGAGGAAGGUGGGGAUGACGUCAAAUCAUCAUGCCCCUUAUGAGCAGGGCUACACACGUGCUACAAUGGCGUAAACAAAGGGAGGCAGAACCGCGAGGUCGAGCAAAUCCCAAAAAUAACGUCUCAGUUCGGAUUGUAGUCUGCAACUCGACUACAUGAAGCUGGAAUCGCUAGUAAUCGCGAAUCAGAAUGUCGCGGUGAAUACGUUCCCGGGUCUUGCACA